AGGCAGGGAGGGGGAUGGAGUGAUGAAGCGGGUGGAAGAGAGAUAAGGAGAGUGAAGGGAAGAGAGACCUGCUUGGUAUUCACCUGUCUCUCUGGAUCAAUAAAGGAAGCCAAAAGCUGGAAGAUGAGGCCCUUUUUGAAGCAGUUGUCAAGAGGCUUUUUGGAACAUUGGGAAAUAAGCAAGUGAAGAUAAGUGAAGUUGAUAAGAAUGACUUCAGUCUCCCGGCUCAGCCAAUCAGAUCGACCGGAUGACCUCAAUAUCCUGGUCCACCCGAUCAGAACAUCUAAAUGUGCUCUGGUGUGAUGAGGUCUGCCAUGGAGGUGUCACUAAAUGCCCUGGUUGAAUGAUUUUCCCAGGUCCUGUGCUGUUUUGCCAAUGGCUGACUCAUUUGCAGGUGACUCACCGGCAGAAGUGCGUGAUUUUAUUGGCUGCAUGGGAAAUGUUUUGAUGUAACAGUAGAAUGUUUGCGUGGUUUCCCACUCUGCAGCUGAGGCAAGAUAUCUAGAUGCUGCAAUAUCUACACUUUAAAAAGAAAAAGAUGUCAGGGAAAGAGAGGAAUUUAGCAAUUACAAAAUUCACACUCCAAGAGGUCAUAAAAUACACACGAACACAAAACAUGUUGAAACAUUUUCCUCUGCGCUGGUCCAAAGCUGCUUCAUUCAGAUUAUUCUUCACUAAGCGCCAGGUUGAAUUAUGGAGGCACUACUGGGGGAACACUUUAAUUGAUGUAUGAAUAUGCAAUUGUGCCUCAAUCCUGGGCCUGAAAUCAAUCAAGUAGACAUUCAGAGGCUAUUCUGAGCCGUGCCACCUGCACCCUCAUAUUCUGUGGUUGUUUGUGAGGUUAGAAUCCAUUUCUCCUUAACUGCAUUUCUGAAACCCUGUGGCUCCAUAUUUUACCUCAACGUCGAGCCAACCACACGACGCCAUCUUUAUCUCCUCUAACUGCUAAUGCCGUAUGGUUUAAACAAAGCUGAUUCACUCGUGCUUUUUUAUUUGCAGUAGCAUAGUAGUUAAAUUAACUGCAAAUGUUUUCAUUUUGUAGCACUGUGGUUCAUUAUGAGGGGUUCCUUCCUCAGAGUAAGGAAAUAAUUAACAUAACACAUCUGUUCUUGCAAUGACAUCAUAUGAUCCUUUGUUUUAUUGCUGAUUGAUUUUAUUCUGGUCCUAACAUCUGUUAUUCUCCUGUAACUUCUUAAAUCACUCCUAAAAAUUUUAAAGAUGACUUGCUUGUAGUUUAAGAAAGGUCUUUCUUGUUAAUGUGUUAACUCUGCAAACUCCCUGAUUUUAGACAGUGAUGGAAAGUAACUAAGUAUUGUACAUGAAUAAAGUUGUGAAGUACUUUAA